rnacentral:rRNA from 1 species
CCUACGGGAGGCAGCAGUGAGGAAUAUUGGUCAAUGGCCGCAGGGCUGAACCAGCCAAGUCGCGUGAGGGAUGACGGUCCUAUGGAUUGUAAACCUCUUUUGUCAGGGAGCACAGGGCGCCAAGUGUGGCGCUUUGCGAGUACCUGAAGAAACAGCAUCGGCUAACUCCGUGCCAGCAGCCGCGGUAAUACGGAGGAUGCGAGCGUUAUCCGGAUUUAUUGGGUUAAAGGGGUGCGCAGGCGGAAUGUCAAGUCAGCGGUAAAAUUUCGGGGCUCAACCCAGUCGGGCCGUUGAAACUGGCGUUCUUGAGUGAGCGAGAAGUAUGCGGAAUGCGUGGUGUAGCGGUGAAAUGCAUAGAUAUCACGCAGAACUCCGAUUGCGAAGGCAGCAUACCGGCGCUCAACUGACGCUCAUGCACGAAAGCGUGGGUAUCGAACAGGAUUAGAUACCCCAGUAGUC